UACGGGGGGGGCAAGCGUUGUUCGGAAUUACUGGGCGUAAAGGGCUCGUAGGUGGCCAACUAAGUCGGACGUGAAAUCCCUCAGCUUAACUGGGGACUGCGUCCGAUACUGGAUGGCUUGAGUUUGGGAGAGGGAUGCGGAAUUCCAGGUGUAGCGGUGAAAUGCGUAGAUAUCUGGAGGAACACCGGUGGCGAAGGCGGCUUC
rnacentral:rRNA from 1 species